UUUCCGAGCUCCGAGUCGGAAAUUCAUCUGGAAUGCCCCCCUGAAGUCGGAUUUCCGACUCAGAAAGUUGGACGAUCCCCACCAACCCCAACUUGACGACAACAUCAUAUUCAAAGAUGGCAGCGCUGUGCAUCAACAGUAAAGCGUAACAGCUCUCGUAAUCUAUUAUUAAUUAGCACUUCUGUUUUGUUUUUGAGAAAUUAAAUAAUUAGUAUAUGUUACACUGCCCAACGUCUAACUGUGAACACGGUGCUAUGGUGUUUGUAGGAGUAAAAUACUGUGCUAUGCGUUGUUUACAACUGCUAUCGCUAAAAACAACUAACAACCACUGACAAGGCUAACAAGGGCUAACAAGAGCUGACAACUGCGAACAACAGCUAACAACAGCCAAAGACAGCUGACAAUUAUAAACAACAGCUAACAACCACUAACUGUUGGCAUCCAUCUUGGUUUUCCGACUUGUUAACUGCAACAAUGACCUUUAUGCAAACUGCUAGCCUCAGCAGCUGAUGUUAUAUUCUUCGUUUAAAGUGGCAAAAAGAAAGAAUUGGUUAGCUUUUGAUUAGUGAUUUUGCAUUACAAUGACAAAGCUUGAGUCACUUAAGUCUCCUGCUGCACACUGCUGCACAAACCGGUUUCAGGAAAUCAAUUAAAUCCCGGAAGAAACCAGGGUUGUUUUGGCUAUAAAUCGUGCAAUGACUGGAGAUACAGUCCGUACAUUCUUCAGAUUCUGACCCUACAGGCGUUCCAUACAGAGGUGGUCUCUGGCGAAAUCAGGGUCAUUGACCCCCGUCCGUCCUGAGGGACUGUGGAGAGACACAGGGUUGAAGUGAACUCGUAGACAACAGGUCGUUUCACGGACAGUCCAGUGGGAUAGCUACGAGUCCUCUUUCCCGUUUCAGCAUGUUUAAAGUUGUUUCUUGUAUGAGUGGCCGCUGUGCUGCUAAAAUGUGGCAGCCCUGCUUUAUUCCUGGUUUGUCCAAAUUCCACUCGGCAAGUGGUGAGUUUCCAUGGAGACGAACGAAUUCCAGCACCGGAACAUGUUAUGUUUCUACUCAAGAUAGCCUGAAUGUUGUCGAGAGGGGAAACUUUAGCGUUCACGUUAGCCGAGUGCGUGUAAACAAUGUUUUAGAUGUCGCCUAACUUUCCAAGAAGUGACCAGAGUAAAAAAAAGAUGUUUCCUUGCUAAAAUAACAUCAGUAGUUAUAGUUAACAUGAGAAUCAAAGUCAUUAUUUAGUGCUGUGUUAUGAGUUUUUAAAACCUCCUGUAUAGUUGGUCAAGUAACCAGUUAACUUAAGUUCAAAACUUGCUUUUAAACUUAAGUUUCUUAAAUUUUUACCUAACACGAUUAAACUGCAAGUACACCUGUGUCCUUUUUUUACAACCAGGGGUGAACAUUCAGUUUAGUAUUGCAUGUUGCAUAAGGUGAGGUCUUAGGUGAGCAUAUUGAGGUUAAAGUGGCUGACAGCUUUUAGAUGGUUACUUGCAAGGGAAAACAAUAGUUUCUUGUAAAUUACAGCCUUAAUUUAAACUGCAAUCAUUUAACAGGUGCACUAUGUCAGAAAUCAGCCUUCAAAUACCCUCCAACAGACCUUCCAGAGAUGCCCCCAUGCAAUUUUGAGCCAGAAGAGUACAAGGUGAAGCAGUCUCUUCCUUUCAUUUGUCAUUAAUAGUGAUGACAAUAAUAAGUUCUUUAAACUAGUGAGUAAUUCAUGUUUCAUUUGUAUUUAUUUGUAGGGUAUGUCAAAAGAGCGGAUGAUGGAGAUUCGUCGGCUGAAUUGCAACCCCAUGACAAUGAAGGUUACCAGCUAUAAGAAACCAGUUUUCGUCCACCAGGGAUUCAUGCAGUGGCUGUGGGAUGUGGACGGGAAGCGAUAUUUGGAUUUGUUUGCUGGUGUGGCUACUGUCAGUGUGGGCCACUGCCACCCGUAAGGUCCUUGUUUCUUUGUGUUCUGAUGCAGAGCUAGCAAAAGAAAAAGUCAUUCCAGUUAUUCAGUGCUGUUCUUUUAUUGGGUAUAGGAAAGUGACAGCAGCAGCAGAGCAUCAGUUGAGGAGACUAUGGCAUACCACGAACAUCUACAUCUUUCCUACUCUUCAUGAGUACUGUGAGAAACUAGCCUCACACUUACCAGACCCUCUGAAGGUACCGAGGUGGUUUAUUUAAUUUCAGUCACUGGAUGGCAGUAGUUAAAGUUUGGUUUGUUUCUCCCUGUCUAGGUUGUAUAUCUUACCAACAGCGGCUCAGAAGCCAAUGACUUGGCGAUGUUGAUGGCUCGGCUUCACACAGGCAACUUUGACAUCAUCACUUUCAGGUCUUUUUGGCUAGCUUGAUAUUAUAUUAGGAAACAGAUAAUGUAAAAGUGAUAAAUGUGACUUUAUGAAAGGAUAAAGAUUUGAAGGGAUGGUUUUUGUAAUCCUCUACAAUCCAGAUGUCCUAAUUUUUUCUGAUUGUAAUAUUUUAUGUUUCAGGGGAUCAUACCAUGGUGGGAGUCCGCAGACCAUGGGACUAACUUCCAAUGCAGCAUAUAAAUACCCCAUUGCCAAUGGCUUAGGCUGCACCAAUGUAUGUAUGGAAUAAUGUAUCAAAAUGCAAUCACAGACUUGUUUCAAACAGGGGAAUAUGUGUAAAGUAGGGAUGUAAAUAUUAACAAAAUAGGAUUCUUCAUGCUGGAUAUCUGAGAGACUGUAGCGGUCAGGUUGACCCAGCUGACUAGUUUUCUGCUCAAUUAACAGACCAUGUGUCCUGAUGUGUUCAGAGGUCCGUGGGGAGGAAGCCACUGCAGAGACUCUCCUGUGCAGACCAUCAGGGACUGUGGCUGUGCACAAGGUACACAAACAUACAAACGCACAGCUGAACAUGCUCAAAGUGCUGCCUGAAAACUGGAAAAAACUUGAAAUGUUGUCUCUACUAUUGAGCAUUAGGAUCACUUUUGCAACAUGCCUUGAAAAAAAUUAACUUUUCUAUCAUUCAAUGAUCAGUGAUCAUGUAGGCAGGAAAAAAACAGCUGAUGUUUGAAGCUGUGUGAUUUUGCUUUGUUAUUUUUAUUAGCUGCACAUAACUCAAAUAUGUAAACCUUAACCUUUGCAAGAGUUGACACCAUACUGUAUGUAAACUGUAGUGUAGAGAAACACAUUCUUGUGUUUAAUGAUACUUCACAGACCUCUGCUUUGGUGGAAAUAGACAUGAGCUUGUAAUGAGUUACUAUUCAAAAGCUACAUUAAUAAAUUUCCCUAAAAGUCAACAUUGUGAAAAAAGUCAGUUGUUACACUAAGAAUAAGUUUUGAAUGUUAAAUAUUUUCCUUUUCCGACCUAUCAUUAUAUAACUAACUUGCUGCUGUAGAUAAUGGAAGAAAAUUGAGUCAAAGUCAAUAAUGUGACAAUCUCUCAAAAAAAGAAUGUCUCAAUUUAAAGCUUCUGUAGAAACGAUAAGAUUAUAAAUUUUCCAAUUGAAUCAACUUGUUAAAGUAUGUUAUUUUAACAUAGACGGUUGCUCUUUGUUGAAUCCACAGAUCAGUGCAUGGCUCAUGAUCAAUACAUCGGGCAGCUCAUGGAGACUUUUGCUACAAGUGUCCCGAGUCGAAUCGCUGCUUUCUUUGGAGAGCCGAUUCAGGUAAUGUCUUGUUGUUAAUUGUUACAAGUAAUAUAGUGUAAAUGUAAAAAUAUUACUGAAUGUAAUUCUUUUGUAAGGUGUUGCUUUACUAUGUUUAAAACUGACUGACUAGUUUCGUCAUGUUCAGAGUGAGACUUUGUCAAAGUGGUCGUGUCAUUUGUCUUUAUCUUGUUUGUACAGGGUGUCGGAGGAGCUGUGCAGUAUCCUAAAAACUAUCUCAAAGAGGCCUACAAACUUGUGAGGGAAAGAGGAGGGGUCUGCAUUGCUGAUGAGGUUAGGUAUUGUUGCUUUCUUUGCCGGUCACAGGAGAUGUGUCACAAUAUUACUGGUCUUAUUCUAAACCUGCACAACCUGCCUUUUGGUUUUUGCUCGCUAAGAGCAGAUGGGUGUACUGGGGAGCAACACUAAGUGGUUUUCACUGACUUGAAGCUAGCUCUCUUUUGACAUAGCUACAUAAGUAUGGUAGCUUGUUAUGCUAAUUCAGUUACCUAGACUGGGUUAAAUUCAGAGUUUUAGCUGCAGAUUCUGUCCUUUCAGAAAGUCUGAGCUGUUUGAUGCUCAGUUGAGGCAAAAUGUGUCUAAAAACAUGUUGAACCCUGAUGUUACGUAAGUAAAGCCACAGCACUUUAAGCCAGACAAUUACAGUUAUACAACUUUCAUUAAAAAAGCUGCCUUUACCUAACAGGGAUGGUGAAAGACUUAAGACCAAAAACAAUAAGGUAAAAAAUGCUAAAAUGGACUGCCAAAGUGCCUUUAAGCAUUCUAAGAGAACUGCUUUCUUUGUUUAUCAUGACAUAUUAAUUGAAUAUGUAGAGGGAUUGACCUGUUUUGACCUGGACAGGUUCAAACUGGAUUUGGUCGCACAGGAACUCACUUCUGGGGUUUCCAAGGUCAUGAUGUCAUCCCUGAUAUGGUUACCAUGGCAAAGGGCAUUGGUAAUGGGUUCCCAAUGGGAGCUGUUGUGACAACUCCAGGUAAGAUAACGUAUUCAAGGAAAAUUCCUCUUUAUUGUAUAUUUUUCACUCUGCUCAGGAUUUGAACGUAGAAUUCAUCAUGUUUGAUUUUCAUGUUUGAAUCUCAUCAACAUAACAUUACAGCAGAUCUGUGAAAGCUCUACAAAAAUCUGUCCUGCUCAGAGAAAAAUACAGGCACUCCAGCUUCACCUCUGUUCCUUAUGCUGUGACAGUCUCUUUCUUAAUGCAGACUCGGUGCAUUGAUCACCCUUAAUUUCACAUGAUGUGUGAUUGCAGGCUGUUCCUCGUAUUAAUCUUAACACAUCCCUUAGAUGCUUAACAACUAAACUCAAAGGUUGCGCUGUUGUCAUUGUGGUGCUAGUCUGUAAUCCCACUCUGUAAUGCUAUGUACACAAGAACAGCUUGAUACUUUCAGGAGUGAUUUAAAAGCAAGUCAUCUAUAAAAAGCCAGCUUUUAGUUUGAAAAGGCACUAAAAAGAAAUGUCAUCUCAUUCAUUCAUGUGUUUCCAGAAAUUGCUGCCUCAUUUGCCAAAGGGGUUCAUUUCAACACCUUUGGGGGAAACCCUGUGGCUUGUGCUGUUGCUUCAUCAGUGCUUGAUGUAAGAAUAUUUGUUUUAUUAGGAUAUUAGGAGGUAGUUUAUUUACAUUCUCACAUGUCUGUAAACUAACGCCAGAGCUGCAAAUGUAAACGUAGUAAUCAUAGAGGCUCAUGAAUGACAUCUGAAACCAUGUAAAAGUUGUUCUUUGACUCUACAGACUAUCAAAGAGGAUGGUACGCAGCAGAUCAGUCUCAAUGUGGGGACCUAUCUGAUGAUGGAAAUGGCCAAACUCAGAGACAAGUACGAGAUUAUUGGCGAUGUCCGUGGGAAAGGACUGCAGAUUGGAGUGGAAAUGGUCAAAGACAAGGUAUUGAGUUUGUCGCAGAAGUAACACUAACAACCCCUCACAUGCUUGAACAACGUGUGUGUAUGUGUUUGUUUGUGUGUGGUUGUGUGUCUGUGCUGUGUCCCUUGGGGGCAUGGUCCAGCGAUGCCCCAGUUAACCAUUAGCUGAAGCAGCAGUGACUGUCUGUGUUUAGGUUUAGAAAAAUCCCAGCUGCAGUAAAAGUACGACUGAGUGUAGCCCUGAAUGUUUUUUGUUAACAAUCGGAUGUUGUUUUGGGAAAAAGGCCAGCAAAUGGAAAAACACACACUGCAACUUUAAUAAGAGGGGGGAAAAAGAAAGGAAAAUGUAUAAUCUUGAGUUUUGUCAACUUUUAAACAACCCAUUUUUCAACUGCAGCAGUGCUGUUUGGGAAACAACUAGCUGUGCCAGUGUCACUAAUGUUUGGCAUCUUUUAAGGGUUUGUUGCAUAUUCCUUGACUGUAUAACUUUUGACUUUUACAGUUUGAUCUGAAACGUCAUUAAAACAGUGACACUGUAGGUAAUCCUCCACUGGGAUUUGAUUUUGGUUAGUCUUAAACCACUCCAAAAAAUAUCUAAAAACAUCCUCUUUAAGUUGUUAAGCAUAAAAAAGAAGGAUUUAACAAAAUAGUUUUCGACUUGUACCAUUUCCACUCACCUCUGCAAUGUUCUGUGCAUCAUCUCUGUCAUUCUCAGGCCAGCAGAGACCCUCUGCCUCCCGAGAGCAUAGCUGAGAUCUUUGAGGACAUCAAGGACAUGGGAGUAUUAAUAGGAAAAGGAGGAGUAUAUGGACAGGUAACCACAUUCACCUGGAAGCUUUAAUGGUAGCCUAGAGUGUAAAGAUAGUACUUUUUAGUAUAUUGAAAUAAUUUCAUCGAUAAGUGUAGACAUAGGGCUCUAUUUUCGUGUACGCCCAUGAGGCGGCGGAGGGCGGCGAGCCCCGCGUACUUGUAUUUUCGUGUGGCGGAGCCCGGCGUACAGCCAGUUUGGUAUUUUCGUGGACUGAGGUGCACGGAGGCGAGCUGAGUUCCGCCAAGCUGGACGUGGUGGCGUGGCAGGGGGAGGUGUCGACAGAAUCAGUGGGCGCAGUGACAUUUUCGUGCUCGCCACCGGCGUGUAAAGUGCGCUGAAAGUUUGCCGAUUCAAACAUGGUCAGCUUUCAGCGCAGGCGGAGCGCAGCUGGUCUAGUGGUAUUUUGGUAGACCCACUCCCCGCCCUCUCUCCUCCCUCGCUACGACUAACGCCGCUGGGAGGAGCUGAGUUAGGGAGGGGGGAUACUUACGCCGGGCUGCACCACUCACCAAAAUACCAAAUUGUGCUUGGGAACGCCUUGUCGGCGCGGCAGACCUCACUUACACUGCGCAUGCACUGCGUCGCCAGCGAGGCACGAAAAUAGAGCCCAUAGUUUCACCUUGGAGCCCAUUUAGCAAUCAUCAUGGGUUACACAGUAGUUUUUGUAUUUAGAAAGAAACAUUUUGGUGUGCAGCAGUAGCAGGAACCAGACAGUGACUCCUUAGGGUGCUCUUACCAGCUUUGAAAGGUAAAAUUUCACUGCAUUUAUUUCAUGUUUUUACCUUGAGUAAAACAGAAGAAAAUUAUUGAAUGUAGGAUGAGUGGAAAAGCUGAAAAAUGUCUUAAGAUUUUUACCCCAAAUAAAAUGAAUGUUCUGCUGUUGAACACAUGUUCCUGAAAAGUUACUGUGCUUUCAUCAGUCUCAGAAAAAAAGUGCCUGACUCAUUGAGGUUUAAUUUGGGUGAUUUAGCACACCAUAAUCUUUCCUCGUGUUUUUUUUUCUCCCCACUCAAGACUUUCCGCAUCAAACCCCCCAUGUGCAUCACGAUGGAAGACGCAGAUUUCUUUCUGGCAGUUUUUAACAAGGCCAUCCACAACUACAUGGAAAGAAGAUAGAAGACCACGUGGAAAUCUCAAUGCUGGGACCAAACCUCGUUUUUAAAUAUGUGAAGUGUUAAUCAACGCAAACCGUCUAAAAAGACUACCUCUGCCACAAUCCUAAAGGGAGAUUUUGUUGAUAAUCUGAAGACUUGAUUGACCAAUGUUUGCUCAUGUUUCUUCCUUUUGGGUUGAAUUGUGGGUGGAUGUAAUGUUGUAUGACUGGAAAAAGAAAAUGUCAUUUCUAAACGUGCUUAUUUUUAAUAAUGGGGGUGCUUUUAAGAAUAAAGAAUAUGUGAGCUUAUAGGACAACAGUUGAACACACCAACCCUUACUGCUAUUUUUUUAAAAUAGAAAACAUCACUAGCAGCUAUCAAACAAUGACUUCUCACAAAUCACUAUCAUUUUUCUUUGAUGUAUACACAUGUAACCCUGAACAAGAGACCAUGAAAGUACAAAGCUGACUCAUAGUUCAAAUAUACUGAUACUAGAAUACAGAAUUCAAGUCUUGUACUAACUAGUAAAAGACAAAAACAAAGACCUG